UAGAAGCGUCAGUGCUGUUUAAUGUGC
rnacentral:piRNA from 1 species